CCUAUCUGGUUGAUCCUGCCAGUGUCUAUAUGCUUGUUUCAAAGACUAAAGCCAUGCAUGCCUAAGUACAGCUCGGUGGGGCAACCUACCGGGCGAAACCGCAGACGGCUCAUUAAAUCAGUUGUGGUCUAAGGGGGCAACAGAUUUCCUUACUUGGAUAACUGUGGAAAAUCCAGAGCUAAUACAUGCGAUUCGAAGUCCUCAGCCAAAGCCUCGCGUCGCUCGCGGCGUACGGUGACUAACUGGGGGUGCUUUUAUUAGACCGAGGCGCGCGCACACGUAGCUUAGCGCCUGUCUUCACGGGCGGGAAUGCGGCUGCUUGUGUGUCGCACGUAAGCGCUUUAUGGUGACUCUGAAUAACACUGAUAAGCGUGCUUUAAGUAGCACGCUGCCUUCCUUACGAGUGACUGCCCUAUCAGCUACUAACGUAUGUUAUACGCGAACGGUUGGCUAUAACGGGGUAACGGGGAAUCAGAGUUCGAUUCCGGAGAGGCAGCCUGAGAAACGGCUACCACGUCUAAGGACGGCAGCAGGCACGCAAAUUACCCAAUCCCAGCACACGGGGGAGGUAGUGACGAUAGAUACUGAUGCGGGUCGUUCUUCGGAACACUCGCAAUUGGCAAUGGCUAUUUUCUAAAAACCCUAUCGAGAACCUACUGGAGGGCAAGCCUGGUGCCAGCAGCCGCGGUAAUUCCAGCUCCAGUGGCGUAUGCAAUGUUGCUGCGGUUAAAAGGCUCNCAGUUGAAAUGUCGGUUAAUAUACGCGAAGUGAUGCCGGGACGCUGCGAGCUUUGCGGCCUCUGUGCAGCAUUGUGAGCCGUCUCUCCAAGUGCAUCUCUGGCGGGCUAACGAUUAGAUUGGCGACGCAGAGUGGGUCUUCUCGCGGCACGUUCGUUCUCGGACGUGUGUGCUCGGCUCACUCGCACGUGUCGCCGGUUGACACCUUGAGUAAAUCAGAGUGCUUAAAGCAGUCGUUGAAACACUACGGCUGCGAUCUCCACCUCUCGCGAGGCAUAGGGUCGUAUGUCUAUGGUGACGUCGCAAGACGUUUGGACAUUGUCUUUGCUUUGCAUGGUACGUCGGAAGACGCCGUGUGAGUUGGUUGCGCUUACGGUCAGACACACCAGCAGUGUGUGCGCGUGCACCAACGAGCUCGGAAUGAACUGAAAGGGAUGGCUCGAAGGCAUUGGUAUUGCGGGGCGAGAGGUGAAAUUCUAUGACCCCCGCAAGACUUCCCGAAGCGAAAGCGUUUGCCUAGGACGUCUUCAUUAAUCAUGAACGAAAGUUGAAGGAUCGAAGGCGAUCAGAUACCGCCCUAGUUGCAACCGUAAACGAUAUCAACCAUCAAUCCGUCAAAGCGUUCCCUUGCGUUCGCGCGGUCUGGCUUCACGGUCGGCCUCGUGGGCAAAGUGUAAGCGCUUGAUGGGCAGCUCUUCUAUCACGGGAAACCAGAGUGUUUCGGUUCCGGGGGGAGUCUGGUUGCAAAGCUGAAACUUAAAGGAAUUGACGGAAAGGCACCACCAGGCGUGGGGCUUGCGGCUCAAUUUGACUCAACACGGGAAAUCUCACCAGACCCGAACAUCUCUAACGAUUGACAGAUUGAAAGCUCUUUCUUGAUGAAGUGGAUGGUGGUGCAUGGCCGUUCUUAGUUGGUGGAGUGAUCUGUCUGGUUAAUUCCGAUAACGAACGAGACUCUCCCCUGCUAACGGACCUUAGUGUUUUUUUAGACGGUGCGAUUCGGAUAAAGGGACCACGGGCGUAAGCCGGUCUCAGACGACGUCCACUGAUCCUUGGUACGUCGGUGUUCUCUCUGGAGUCUGGGCGCUCGUGUGUGUGCGCGAUGUCUCUCUCUUGUCAAGGCCCGUGUCAAAGCGGCGUUGCGGCGAGGGUGUGGGCUCGUCUCAUGCGCGGCGUCUGUCUCUCUCGGGGGGCUCAUUGACAAAGUGCCUCGGAGUACGUUUCUUCUUAGAGGGAUUGACGACUCAUAAGUCGUAAGAAACAGGGAGCAAUAACAGGUCUGUGAUGCCCUUAGAUGUUCUGGGCUGCACGCGUGUUACGAUGCCGGUAUCAACGGGUUCUUACACUCUUAGUGGCCUACUCCGAAAGGAGCGGGUAAACCUUUGAAAUACCAACUGCUGCCAUACUUCUCGUACGGCGCAUUUACGGCAUGCUUGGGACUGGGGAUUGCAAUUAUUCCCCACGAACUAGGAAUGCCUUGUAGUGGCGGGUCACAGAACCCGCUGCGAAUCUGUCCCUGCCCUUUGUACACACCGCCCGUCGCUACUACCGAUUGAGUGUACCAGUGAGAUUUUUGGACUGGCGAACCGCGUGCCUUCACGGGCUCGCGGCGUACGACAACAAGAGACUCGAACUGGUGCACUUAGAGGAAGUAAAAGUCGUAACAAGGUUUCCGUAGUGAACCUGCGGAAGGAUCAUUA
rnacentral:rRNA from 1 species